UACGUAGGGAGCAAGCGUUGUCCGGAAUCAUUGGGCGUAAAGCGCGCGUAGGCGGCCUCGUAAGUCCGUUGUGAAAGUCAAAGGCUCAACCUUUGAAAGCCGAUGGAUACUGUGAGGCUAGAGUCCGGAAGAGGCGAGUGGAAUUCCUGGUGUAGCGGUGGAAUGCGCAGAUAUCAGGAAGAACACCCGUGGCUAAGGCGGCUCUCUAGUACGGUACUGACGCUGAGACGCGAAAGCGUGGGGAGCGAACAGG
rnacentral:rRNA from 1 species